CUCAUCUAAUCCAUACAGUUGCACGUUUAUAAUUUGUCUAAUACUCAGAUCACUCAUCCCUUUUCCCGUGCACUGAUAUGUUUAAUGUCGAUCUCGUGAAUCGUAUGAUUGCUAAAGUCAUUCGAUUCUUUACAUUCAAAGAGUAUACAUCUCUUUGUUGUAUAUUAAUGAUAUUUAUUACCAUUAAUAAAUAUAUUACAGCCAAACGAGUUUAUCCUCCACGAUAGAACCUCACGGAAACCCACCGGCAACAUUGGCGCCCAACAAGUCGUCGUGGUAUUCAGGAAAACAAGGGUUGAAGUAUUUUGUUCAACGCUGAAUCGUCGAGCACAGCAUUUUGCUCAAAUUGGCCAAACUACGCCUUUGCUAUUUGACAUAGUAGAGACAUAUUUGAGAGUUAUUCCCAAAGAGACAGUCGACUGAACUUGGAUUGUUUAGUGACAACACGCGUUUGCUGAACGUUCUAUGGUCUGUCUGCUCACGGAGAAACCGUUCCCGGGACAUUCACGGUAUAAAUGUGCACACAUUAACUUUUACGUACGUACGUCAACGUCAGGAUUCUUCAUUCUACGUUACCAGGAUUGGAUUCGCCGUUCAGUCUGGAUAGUGCAUUGACACUGUAAUUGGACUUAUUACAUAGUGUAUAGGACUAAGUAUAUUGUUUUGUUUAUUCUUUGCUGAUCCGACGAAUUUUGUGAAGUUGAUGACGUCAUCACUAUAUUUAUUCAUUGAGCUGUUAUAUUGGCUUUACGGGCCAUGGAGACGCCGGAUGUCGGUAGUCGGGCAACAGCACGGACCAGGGGGCAGUGGUACCUAUCCCGGCGGAACCACAGUGUUAUCGAACGAAUACACUGCUGUCCGCAGUGCUUCUGGCUUGCGUGGUGUCCAGUUUUCCGCAUAGUAGUACAGAGUGGGCAACAAAAGAAAGCAACAAUCAAAACACAACGAGAAUCAACUCAUCACGGGUGCUAUCCUCAAUGUUUCACGAUCGCUUCGAGCUAUCAACUGGAGUUUACGAUAUUGAAAGAGGAACAGAUCUGCAUGUUGAUGCCAAGGAUCGGACGAAGCGAAGCAGUGAAUGCAGAGGUUUGCGAACGCGUGCCUUGUGUCCAUGGAGAUACGAAACAAUGGUUGACAGAACGUACGUUCCUAGCAGGUUGAGAAUCGUAAAAUGUGAGUCAAGUAUGAUACAAAUACCGAAUUCCAUUAUUCAAUGCGAGGAAGUAUACACGCUGCAGCAUGUGAGGCUUCAUGAUUGCGUCGGCGAUGAGGACAGCUGUGAGCGGGAUAUCCAGAUUCCUGUCGGCUGCGUCGCUGCACGCCCGUGUGUUUUACCCGCCUACGAGUAGAAGGAAUCUCUAUUGAAACACAGAUUUUGACCUAACAAUUUCGGUCGAUGUUAAAAGACAACAGCA